CUCAAUCCUUCUGGGGAUUUCCUUUGUGUUGCUCUCUUAGGGCUCCCUUCUUCCUGGGGGAGGCCAUGAGGAACGUCUUUCUCUUUCAUGCUCGACUCUCUGGUUUUGGUGAAGCAAGUCUUUCAGAAGCUUUGUGAGAACGGAUGCAUGGAAGGCAACACUUCAGGGAUCUUGUGUAUCUUUAUUCUGCCCUUCCACCGUGAGGCUGGGUCGGCUUGAAAACUUCAGCGAUGAGCCUUUUUCCGACAGAACAGGAAGUGAAAUGAACUAUUUCUGGUCAUUCUCCUUAAGGUUGGUCGUUUAUGGGACACACACUGGUGCAGGCUAGAGCUCCUCUAUAUCUGAAAGCAAUGUUGGGGAAAUGCAUCCAGAUGAACCAGAUUUUUCAAGUUCUGGCAGAAUACUACCGCUUAGCUCUGCCCAUGGGCUUGAGUCUUCUCUGCGGACAGUCCCGUCAAUGCUCUUUCCCUCCCUAGUAUCUGGAGGCAAAUCUGCUGUUCCUGAGCCAUUCAUGCUGUUCCCUGCGUGUGCCUGGGGCAAAGAAGAGUGGGAGCUAUUCAUCUUCACCCGAAAUCUCCUCCCUGUCUGCCUGAGCCCUGUCUGGUCUAACUUACUUGAACUCCUUGAGCCGACCUGCCCUGUUUUGGAAACAGAUAGUGAUGGCUGUUUUGUGAUCCAUACGCUUUUAUCACUUUUGU
rnacentral:lncRNA from 1 species